GACCCCGUAGUAUAGCCUGGAUAGUACUCAGGGUUCCGGACCCUGUAACCUGGGUUCGAAUCCCAGCGGGGUCG
rnacentral:tRNA from 1 species